UUGUAUUGAGAUGAAUCAUACAGUUUCAGUUAUGAAUUGAUGAUUAAUUGAUGAAAUGGUUGCAUUGAAUUGAAAUGAUGAUUGAUUGUGUUUUGAAUGUAGCUCAGGAGUACAUGGCACAGAUCUAUAGGCUACAUAUGGGGUCCCUGAGUUUAUCAUCUCUGAUCGAGAUAAAAUCUUUGUGAGCAACUUCUGGUAGGAGUUAUUUAAACAGUUGGGAACCAGAUUGCAUAUGUCCACAACCUAUUACCCCAAACCGAUUGCCAAACAGAGGUUUUAAACCGAUGCCUUGAGGGCUAUCUACUUUGUAUGUCAAGAGAAUCUCCUAGUGACUGGUUCAUGUGGUUACCUUUGGCCGAGUGGUGGUACAACACUACCCACCACUUAUCCAUUCAGACUACUCCUUAUGAGGCGCUCUAUGGUCAAAGCCCCCACUCCAUCUACCUUACCUAGUAGGGGCCUCUUCAGUGGCUAUUUUUGAUCGAAAUCUUCGAAACAGGGAAGCUACCAGGAAGCUCCUGCAGUUUCAUCUCAAAAAAUACCAAGAGAGGAUGAAGCAAAUGGCGGAGCAAAUAAGGUCUUAGAAGGAGUUUACAGUUGGGGACUUGGUUUACCUUAAAUUGCAGCCUUAUAGACAACAUACUAUGAGGAAGCUAUGAAACCAAAAGCUCUCCCCAAAUUAUGUUGGGCCCUUUCCAGUGGAAGCAAAAUUGGUGUUGUUGCCUACAAGCUAGUUCUGCCAACAGGGUCUCGAAUCCAUCACACUUUCCACGUAUCACAGCUCAAAAAACACAUUGGUCGAGCUCCUGUUUGACCUAACCUACCCUUGGUUGGUUCCGAUGGCGCCUGCAGCAAAGAACCAGUGAGAGUCCUAGAUCGAAGGAUGGUUUGAAAAGGGAAUUGUGCUGCUACUGAGGUAUUAGUUGAGUGGGCAAACACAUUUCUAGAAGAUGCGACAUGGAAGAACCUGCAAGAGCUUCAACAAAAAUUUCCAUCCUUUAAUCCUUGAGGACAAGGAUCAGUCGUAAGAAGGAAGCAAUUGUUAUGGAACGAGCUUGAAGUCAACGCCGGGCUCAAACAAAAUUUCAAUUCCUGUUUAUUUUUGUUGGAAACCGCGUUCUAAUGAACAUUAAUAAAACGGUGCAUUUAGGCGAGUUGGGGAGGGGAAUCUGACUUGGUACCAAAACGAUGCGUAUGCCAGGGUAAGAUACUAGUAAAACGGUGCGUAUGGUUUGUUAUACAGGUGUAAGUAACCGUUAUUUCCCUAUUUAGCCACCUAUCAGCAUUGCAUGCAUGGUAGUUGCAUCUUCUUCUCUCCUCCUCUCCCUUUCUCUAUUCUCUCUUUU
rnacentral:lncRNA from 1 species